UAUAUAUAUAUGUUUAUUAUAUGCUACAGUAAAUUUAAAAAAAAAAUUGAAAAGAUCUGGGCUAAAAACAAAUGAAAAAGAGACAGUGGACAACCGACAGAGAAGCUUGUCGGAGAUGAAAAAAAAAAUGAAAAAAGGACCGAUUCCCGUCGCCGGUCGUUUUCAGAGGGAAAGAAGAAGAAGAUGGAAGAAGUAGAUGAAGGAGAAAGAAAAAACAAGAAGAAAGGAGAAGAAAACAUACCUGGGUAUCUCGGUCGUCGGUCGUCGGAGAAGUAGCAAAACCCUAAUUUCUUGUCACUGAACUUCUGAAGAGAAGAGGGGUCGUUGGUCUUUCUUUUUUUUUAAUUUCAGCAACUGGUUGAGGGUUUCUUUUAAUUUCAUCAACUGGGCGAUCGAUUUUUUCAACAAAUCGAUCGCUUCCGUCGCUUCGAAUCGCCUCGCUUUUCACAGGUAAGCGCUCGCUUCUGUUGUUCGCGUCGCCUGAAGGAGAAAAAAGCGAUGUAGUCCCGCUUCGCGUCGCUUCUCGCUUUAAGCGAUGAAGCGAUCGCUUUUGAUAACACUGGGAAUGAAGAUAUUGAGGAGAAGGUGGGCAUGACUUCCAAUGGAUGACAAGAUGCGGGAAGCGAGGCUCGUGGCUCGGGCAUGUACAAAGGAGGAGCUCAGAUGCUCUGGUAAGGAGGUGCGAACGGUUGGCGUUGGUGGCUACGAGGAGAGAUAGAGGGCUGCCUAAGAAGUAUUGUGGAGAGAUGAUCAUGCGGGAUAUGGCGAGGCUUCAGAUCUUCGAGGACAUAGCCUUUGAAAUUAGGAAGCUGUGGAGGUUGAGCAUUAAGGUAGUAGGUUAGGAGGUAGUUGAGCAUAUUUCUAAUUCGUACAAGUGUGAGGCUAUUUUGAUGGGAUUUUGUCUUAGACUGCUAGUGGUCAGUGUUGUGUUCGCAUUACUCUUCCAUUUUCAUAGUGCCGGGCAUUAUUUACUGGUUAUUCUAUUUACUGGUUCUUAUGAUAUUAUUAUUUCUAUAGUUUUUGUUGAUGGUACUGAUAUAUUGUCUCUUUUCGUCUUUUUAAGCCGAUGGUCUAUCGGAAACAUUCUCUCUACUUUCUCGGGUAGAGAUAAGGUCUGCGUACAUACUACCCUCCUCCCUAGAUCCCACUUAUGGGAUUUUACUGGGUCGUUGUUGUUGUAUAAAAGAAAGAUAAGACAUAUUGUUGUUGUUUAAUGGAGAUCUCUCCAACCAUCUCUUGUUAGAAAAAUUUGAAGUAUAGCAAAGUAGCCAAAAGAGUAUGGGUACUAUCUCAAGUGACUAUUCAUAUAGCUUCUAACAAUUCAGUAGUGCGGAUUAUUCUCGAACCCUUCAUACAGGAAUCCCUGAGGCAAAAGAGGUGCUACUGAGAAAUAGGUUCAACCUGAGUUGUAGUUUGUGUUUUGUAAAGAACAAAAUGCAACUGGGUCUUUUUCACUCUUAAGACAUUUAUUCUUGGGUGUUCCAGGCUUUGCUGCAUCUUUAUUACCCCUUUUAACUGUAGGGGAAUUGUGACACAAUUUAGUACAUUCUAUAGGGUCAUGAGGUAGAUUACAAUGCUGGACACAAUCUAUCAUUUGGUGUCUUCUUUGAUUGUUUGAAUCCUAGGCUACACACCAUGCAAUCCACGAUAUAGUUUGGAGGUUUAGAAGAAACACUCACCUUUUUCAUGCUUGUGAGUUACUUCUAUUGCACAUAUUUUUUAUGAGUAAGGUAAAAUUUUAUAACUGUAUCAACAACAAGAGAGUGCUGGUAUGAACAUCUGAGCACAUCAAAAGUGUCUCGCACAGGUUGUGAAGAGAACUAAUAAAGUCAACCAUGGCCUCUACAUUGUAACGGUAUCUAUAUCUACCAUGUCGAUCCAAUAAGAAUUUAAAGAAAUACAAUUAAACUUAAGACUAGAAACAUUCACUUUUUUGACUUCAAAAAUUCUCAAGUUUCUCUCUUACUAUAUAAUCCACCAUAUUGCCGCUGUUAUUGCGUUCCAAAUUCUUUGAUGCUUACCCCUCAAGCCUCUUUUCUGCCGACCUUGCAAAAAUUCCACUGUCUCUUGGCAUUGUCCACUUCAACCCCAACCAAGAGUCAUUCCAAAAGCUAAUCGUUCCUUCCAUCACACAGCUUGAAGUAUGUUUUGCCUACGACGUCAUACUAAUAAGCACAUGUUAAGAUGAUUUAAAGGUUGUAGGUUCAGUUUUUACACUCAACACUAUAUUUAGUAGUUGUACCCCGUGGGGCCCUUAAUAACACAAUGUUUUCUUGAUUAUUCUCCAAACACCCCCCUCCUCCCCUCCCCCCAAAAUAUAAUAAUUUGGCCAAACAGGUAAAUGAUCUCUUGUGUCCCUUAAAUGUUUCAGAAACUCUUUAGAGAUAUGAUUUUUUAAGUAUUUCUCCUCUUCCCUUUCUUCUUUUGAAUGCGGAUAUAAGUUCACACUAGAUAAAAAGGAGGGAUAUCUGCACUAACAUUUUCUAGUGUCAUUUCUUACUGAUAAAUGCCAAUGCAUAUUUAUGCAUGUGUAAAUAUAUAAACAUAGUUUAGAGGACUAGUCCGUGCCCUGUUCCGUUGUUGAUAUACAUUAUCAUAUUAGAUACGAUGGUUGGAUCUCUUUUGAUGUUAUAGCGGCUUACAGCAUUAGCAGUUUUUUCUUUUAAGAACUCUCAUAUGUGCUUUCUCAGGCUUGUCAUAAAUGCAACAUCACACCUUAUUACACUGUAUGAAAUGAACCAUUAUCAUUUGUGGUUCAAUUGUUGGGUGCUUGCAGGCCUCAGGUAACAAUUGCCACUGCAAUAAUAUUUUGUCAUCGGUUCUUUCUUCGGCAAUCUCAUACCAGGAAUGAUAGGAGGGUAAGUAACUUUCCGUUUCCGUUUUACCAUUUAUUGCAUCUAUGGCUGCUUGACCGUUUGUAUAUAUUUGUUAAAUGAAACCAGUGAUUGUAU
rnacentral:lncRNA from 1 species